rnacentral:rRNA from 1 species
UUUCCUACGGGAGGCAGCAGUGGGGAAUAUUGCACAAUGGGCGAAAGCCUGAUGCAGCAACGCCGCGUGAGCGAUGAAGGCCUUCGGGUCGUAAAGCUCUGUCCUCAAGGAAGAUAAGGACGUACUUGAGGAGGAGCCCCGUAUACGG